rnacentral:rRNA from 1 species
AUGAACGCUGGCGGCGUGCUUAACACAUGCAAGUCGAACGAGCCUUCGGGCUAGUGGCGGACGGGUGAGUAACGCGUGGGAAUCUGCCCUCAGGAGGGGGAUAACGGCCGGAAACGGCCGCUAAUACCCCAUAUGCCGAGAGGUGAAAUGAAUUUCGCCUGAGGAUGAGCCCGCGUCUGAUUAGCUAGUUGGUGGGGUAAUGGCCCACCAAGGCGACGAUCAGUAGCUGGUCUGAGAGGAUGAUCAGCCACACUGGGACUGAGACACGGCCCAGACUCCUACGGGAGGCAGCAGUGGGGAAUUUUCCGCAAUGGGCGAAAGCCUGACGGAGCAACGCCGCGUGAGGGAUGAAGGCCUCUGGGCUGUAAACCUCUUUUCUCAAGGAAGAAGACAUGACGGUACUUGAGGAAUAAGCCACGGCUAAUUCCGUGCCAGCAGCCGCGGUAAUACGGGAGUGGCAAGCGUUAUCCGGAAUUAUUGGGCGUAAAGCGUCCGCAGGCGGCCUUGUAAGUCUGUCGUUAAAGCGUGGAGCUUAACUCCAUUUCAGCGAUGGAAACUACAAGGCUUGAGUGUGGUAGGGGCAGAGGGAAUUCCCGGUGUAGCGGUGAAAUGCGUAGAUAUCGGGAAGAACACCAGUGGCGAAGGCGCUCUGCUGGGCCAUAACUGACGCUCAUGGACGAAAGCCAGGGGAGCGAAAGGGAUUAGAUACCCCUGUAGUCCUGGCCGUAAACGAUGAACACUAGGUGUCGGGGGAAUCGACCCCCUCGGUGUCGUAGCUAACGCGUUAAGUGUUCCGCCUGGGGAGUACGCACGCAAGUGUGAAACUCAAAGGAAUUGACGGGGGCCCGCACAAGCGGUGGAGUAUGUGGUUUAAUUCGAUGCAACGCGAAGAACCUUACCAGGGUUUGACAUCCUGCGAAUCCCUUGGAAACGAGGGAGUGCCUUCGGGAGCGCAGAGACAGGUGGUGCAUGGCUGUCGUCAGCUCGUGUCGUGAGAUGUUGGGUUAAGUCCCGCAACGAGCGCAACCCACGUCUUUAGUUGCCAGCAUUCAGUUGGGCACUCUAGAGAGACCGCCGGUGAUAAACCGGAGGAAGGUGUGGAUGACGUCAAGUCAUCAUGCCCCUUACAUCCUGGGCUACACACGUACUACAAUGCUACGGACAAAGGGUUGCAAGCUCGCGAGAGUUAGCUAAUCCCAUAAACCGUGGCUCAGUUCAGAUCGUAGGCUGCAACUCGCCUACGUGAAGGAGGAAUCGCUAGUAAUCGCAGGUCAGCAUACUGCGGUGAAUACGUUCCCGGGCCUUGUACACACCGCCCGUCACACCAUGGAAGUUGGCCAUGCCCGAAGUCGUUACUCCAACCCUUGUGGAGGAGGACGCCGAAGGUGGGGCUGAUGACUGGGGUGAAGUCGUAACAAGGUAGCCGUACCGGAAGGUGC